rnacentral:rRNA from 1 species
CAGUCGCCACGGUAAUACGUAGGUGGCAAGCGUUGUCCGGUAUUAUUGGGCGUAAAGCGCGCGCAGGCGGCCUAUCCAGUCUGUCUUAAAAGUUCGGGGCUCAACCCCGUGAUGGGAUGGAAACUAGUAGGCUAGAGUAUCGGAGAGGAAAGCGGAAUUCCUAGUGUAGCGGUGAAAUGCGUAGAUAUUAGGAAGAACACCAGUGGCGAAGGCGGCUUUCUGGACGAAAACUGACGCUGAGGCGCGAAAGCCAAGGGAGCGAACGGGAUUAGAUACCCCGGUAGUCCCUGUCUCUUAUACA